UUGUGGUUGUGGUAAUUGUUC
rnacentral:snRNA from 1 species